UCGUGAAAGGGGAUCUCCUGUGGCAGCUGGAGGUCUGUGGGUGCAGCGGGUGCAGCGGGGGCCACGUAGUUGCUGGGGAAGACGCCCACUCGGCCGCUGGGCAGCUGCCCUGUCCACCAGCCCUCAUCUCCAGACACCGCACAGUCCUGGGAAAGCACCUGGACGCGAUCGCCUCUCCGCAGGGUCAGCUCCUCGUCGCCCACCGCCUCGUAGUCGAACACGGCGGUCCACACUGGCCCCGCGGGGGUCGCGCCCCACUCUCUGGCCGCCGCCCCCUCCUCCUCCUCCAUGGGGGAGGGGCCGGGGGCUGCGGGGGGCCGCUUCACGCAGGCUGCCCGCGGAAUGCUGAGCACGAAGCCAGGAGGCCGGGAUGGGAGACAGUCCCUGGGGACCCCGGGGGGCUCCUGAGGACCAUGGCUGGGGGAAGGGCCUCCACUGGAGCGAAGGAAUUAAAAAAAAAAAAACCUAAAAUACACCUUUUUCAAAAGACAGGACCGUUCCCUCGGAUCUGGCUAUGCAGAUCUGGCGAUAGGUUCACCUGUCCCCAAAGAUGUCAGGGCGCAAGGAGGGCCGGGUUGAGCGGGGCCCGCCGGCGGAGGCCGAGGCCGAGGGCAGCAAGCGGCCG
rnacentral:lncRNA from 1 species